rnacentral:rRNA from 1 species
CCUACGGGAGGCAGCAGUGAGGAAUAUUUGUCAAUGGACGAGAGUCUGAACCAGCCAAGUAGCGUGAAGGAUGACUGCCCUAUGGGUUGUAAACUUCUUUUUUAAAGGAAUAAAACGAGGUACGUGUGCCUUUUUGCAUGUACUUUAUGAUUAAGGAUCGGCUAACUCGGUGCCAGCAGCCGCGGUAAUACGGAGUAUCCGAGCGUUAUCCGGUUUUAUUGGGUUUAAAGGGGGCGUAGAUGGGUUAUUAAGACAGUUGUGAAAGUUUGCGGCUCAACCGUAAGAUUGCAAUUGAAACUGGCAGUCUUGAGUACAGUAGGGGUAGGCGGAAUUCGUGGUGUAGCAGUGAAAUGCGUAGAUAUCACGAAGAACCCCGAUUGCGAAGGCAGCUUACUAGACUGUGACUGACAUUGAUGCACGAAAGUGUAGGUAUCAAACAGGAUUAGAUACCCGAGUAGUC